AAAAACAUCGCCUCUUGCCAAUAAUAAGAGGUCCAGCCUGCCCAGUGAAAAUUAAACGGCCGCGGUACCCUAACCGCGCAAAGGUAGCAUAAUCACUUGUUCCUUAAAUAGGGACCAGUAUCAACGGCACCACGAGGGUCGCACUGUCUCCACUCUCCAAUCAGUGAAACUGAUCUUUCCGUGAAGAAGCGGAAAUAAAAUUAUAAGACGAGAAGACCCCAUGGAGCUUUAAACCUUAAACAACUUAAUAUAAUAUUUCCUCAAUAAUUAUAAGCCUUGCCUAAUGGUUUUAGGUUGGGGCGACCACGGAGUAAAAACCAACCUCCACGACGAAAUAGGACCUAAUCCUUAUCCAAGAGCCACCCCUCCAAGAAUUAGAAUACUAACGCACAUGACCCGAUAAUCGAUCAACGAACCAAGUUACCCUGGGGAUAACAGCGCAAUCUACUUCAAGAGCCCAUAUCGACAAGUAGGCUUACGACCUCGAUGUUGGAUCAGGGUAUCCUAGUGGUGCAGCCGCUACUAAUGGUUCGUUUGUUCAACGAUUAAAACCCUACGUGAUCU
rnacentral:rRNA from 1 species